rnacentral:rRNA from 1 species
GGGAAGAAGCAUUGUUAAGGAACUCGGCAAAAUGACCCCGUAACUUCGGGAGAAGGGGUGCCAACGAGAGUUGGCCGCAGAGAAUAGGCUCAAGCAACUGUUUAGCAAAAACACAGGUCUAUGCAAAACCGUAAGGUGAGGUAUAUGGGCUGACGCCUGCCCGGUGCUGGAAGGUUAAGAGGAGAGGUUAGCGCAAGCGAAGCUUUGAAUUUAAGCCCCAGUAAACGGCGGCCGUAACGAUAACGGUCCUAAGGUAGCGAAAUUCCUUGUCGGGUAAGUUCCGACCCGCACGAAAGGCGUAAUGAUUUGAGCGCUGUCUCGACAAUGCAUCCGGUGAAAUUGAAGUACCAGUGAAGAUGCUGGUUACCCGCGCCAGGACGGAAAGACCCCAUGGAGCUUUACUCCAGUUUGGUACUGGGGUCCGGCAGUGCAUGUACAGGAUAGGUGGGAGGCUGAGAACCUGGAACGCCAGUUUCAGGGGAGCCAUUGUUGGGAUACCACCCUUGUGCUGCUGGGCUUCUAACCAGCGGCCUUUAUCAGGCCGGGGGACAAUGCCAGACGGGGAGUUUGACUGGGGCGGUCGCCUCCGAAAGGGUAUCGGAGGCGCUCAAAGGUUCCCUCAGAAUGGUCGGAAACCAUUCGAAGAGUGCAAAGGCAGAAGGGAGCUUGACUGCGACACCGACGGGUGGAGCAGGUACGAAAGUAGGACUUAGUGAUCCGGUGGUAUUAAGUGGGAAUGCCAUCGCUCAACGGAUAAAAGCUACCCUGGGGAUAACAGGCUUAUCACUCCCAAGAGUUCACAUCGACGGAGUGGUUUGGCACCUCGAUGUCGGCUCAUCGCAUCCUGGGGCUGUAGUAGGUCCCAAGGGUUGGGCUGUUCGCCCAUUAAAGCGGUACGCGAGCUGGGUUCAGAACGUCGUGAGACAGUUCGGUCCCUAUCCGGCGUGGGCGUAGGAUAUUUGAGAGGAGCUGUCCUUAGUACGAGAGGACCGGGAUGGACUGACCUCUGGUGUACCGGUUGAACCGCCAGGUUCACGGCCGGGUAGCCAAGUCGGGAAGGGAUAAACGCUGAAGGCAUCUAAGCGUGAAGCCCCCCUCAAGAUGAGAUAUCCCAUUCGAAAGAAGUAAGACCCCUUGAAGACGACGAGGUAGAUAGGGCAGAGGUGGAAGUGCUGUAAGGCAUGGAGCUGACUGUUACUAAUCGGUCGAGGGCUUGACUAA